UGUUCCUAGGUACUACAGGGUACAACAAA
rnacentral:piRNA from 1 species